AAGCAGCCCCAGGUGAAACCGCAGGCUGCCUUUUCUGGAGCUGCUGAAAUCCAGGGGCUGUUUUCAAGUCAGUCAGAACCUGCCCAGCACCACCCCCGACCCUGCCGAAAUGUCAGGGCCAGAAGCUGUGGCGUUGGUGCGGGUGCCACCUCCUUCACUCUGAGCAUGUGGCCCCACAGGUACAUCACUCAGGAAGGCCACAAGCUGGAAACAGGGGCCCCGCGGCCCCCAGCCACCGUCACCAACGCAGUGUCCUGGCGGUCCGAAGGCAUCAAGUAUCGGAAGAAUGAGGUGUUCUUGGACGUCAUUGAGUCUGUCAACCUCUUGGUCAGCGCCAAUGGCAACGUCCUACGCAGCGAGAUCGUGGGCUCCAUCAAGAUGCGAGUCUUCCUCUCGGGCAUGCCCGAGCUGCGCCUGGGCCUCAAUGACAAGGUCCUCUUUGACAACACGGGCCGUGGCAAAAGCAAAUCUGUGGAGCUGGAGGAUGUGAAGUUCCACCAGUGUGUGCGGCUAUCACGCUUCGAGAACGACCGCACCAUCU
rnacentral:sRNA from 1 species